GAUGAACGCUAGCUACAGGCUUAACACAUGCAAGUCGAGGGACCGGCGCACGGGUGAGUAACACGUGUACAACCUGCCCUUUACUCGGGGAUAGCCUUUCGAAAGAAAGAUUAAUACCCGAUAUAAAGGAUGGGGAUGCGUUCCCUUAGGUUGUUGGUGAGGUACCGGCUCACCAAUCCUUCGAUGGAUAGGGGUGCUGAGAGGAAGGCACCCCACAUUGGAACUGCGACACGGUCUAAACUCGUACGCGAGGGAGCAGAGAGUAAUAUUAGUCACUGGGCGCUAGUCUGAACCAGCCAAGUAGCGUGAAGGAUGAAGGCUUAUGGGUCGUAAACUUCUUUUAUAGAAGAAUAGGUAUUAUAUGAAUAAGGAUCGGCUAACUCCGUGCCAGCAGCCGCGGUAAUUC
rnacentral:rRNA from 1 species